AAUGAACGCUGGCGGCGCGCCUAAUACAUGCAAGCCGAGCGAGAAGACGUAGCAAUACGUUUGUAAAGCGGCGAACGGGUGAGGAAUACAUGGGUAACCUACCCUCGAGUGGGGGAUAACUAGCCGAAAGGUUAGCUAAUACCGCGUACGCUUCUUGGACUUCGGUUCAGGGAGGAAAGCGAUGCCGAGGGUAUCGCGCUCUUGGAUGGGCUCAUGUCCUAUCAGCUUGUUGGGAGGUAACGGCUCACCAAGGCUUCGACGGGUAGCUGGUCUGAGAGGACGAUCAGCCACACUGGCACUGCGACACGGGCCAGACUCCUACGGGAGGCAGCAGUAAGGAAUAUUGCGCAAUGGGCGAAAAGCCUGACGCAGCGACGCCGCGUGGGGGAUGAAGGUCUUCGGAUUGUAAACCUCUUUCAGCUCCGACGAAGCGAGAGUGACGGUAGGAGCAG
rnacentral:rRNA from 1 species